UACGUAGGGUGCAAGCGUUGUCCGGAAUUACUGGGCGUAAAGAGCUCGUAGGCGGUUUGUCGCGUCGUCUGUGAAAACUCGAGGCUCAACCUCGAGCUUGCAGGCGAUACGGGCAGACUUGAGUACUGCAGGGGAGACUGGAAUUCCUGGUGUAGCGGUGAAAUGCGCAGAUAUCAGGAGGAACACCGGUGGCGAAGGCGGGUCUCUGAGCAGUAACUGACGCUGAGGAGCGAAAGCGUGGGUAGCGAACAGG
rnacentral:rRNA from 1 species